AGAGAGAGACAUGCGCGCAUAUCAAUAAGCGGAGGAAAAGAAACUAACUAGGAUUCCCUCAGUAACGGCGAGUGAAGCGGGAAGAGCUCAAAUUUGAAAUCUUCAAGGUUCUACCUUGACGAAUUGUAGUUUAAAGAAGUGUUUUCUGUUGAAGUUUUGGUAAAAGUUCUUUGGAAUAGGACAUCAUAGAGGGUGAGAAUCCCGUAUUUGACCAUUAUUUCCAGCUUUGUGAUACACUUUCAAAGAGUCGGAUUGUUUGGGAAUGCAGUCCAAAAUGGGUGGUAAAUUUCAUCUAAAGCUAAAUACUGGCGAGAGACCGAUAGCGAACAAGUACCGUGAGGGAAAGAUGAAAAGAACUUUGAAAAGAGAGUUAAACAGUACGUGAAAUUGUCAAAAGGGAAGCGUUUGACACCAGUGUUGUUUUCCUCGAAAAUCAAUUAAAAAAGGCAGGAUUUUGUGUUGUAUUGACUUUAUCAGCUUUCUGCACUCUUUUCUUGUCUUUUUAAUGCACUUUUCGUUUAACAAGUCAACAUCAAUUUCUUUUGUUGUAAAAGGGUCAUUGGAAGGUGGCUUUCUUUUCGGAGAAAGUGUUUAUAGCCUUUGGCCUCUGCAAUCGGAGAGAUUGAGGUCUGCAGCGUAGAUCCUUCGGGGUUAGAUACAUUUGUGCUAAGUUAUAGCCUUUCAUAGACAACUUGUUGACUAUGAUCAGUCAUGUAGCUUACUCGCUUAUGCUAUUUUACCUACGCUUAGGAUGUUGAUGUGAUACUGCGAGCA
rnacentral:rRNA from 1 species